GAUGAAGAACGUAGCGAAAUGCGAUAAGUAAUGUGAAUUGCAGAAUUCAGUGAAUCAUCGAAUCUUUGAACGCACAUUGCGCCCUCUGGUAUUCCGGGGGGCAUGCCUGUUCGAGCGUCAUUAUAACCACUCAAGCUCUCGCUUGGUAUUGGGGUUCGCGGUUCCGCGGCCCCUAAAAUCAGUGGCGGUGCCUGUCGGCUCUACGCGUAGUAAUACUCCUCGCGAUUGAGUCCGGUAGGUCUACUUGCCAGCAACCCCCAAUUUUUACAGGUUGACCUCGGAUCAGGUAGGGAUACCCGCUGAACUUAAGCAUAUCAAUAAGCGGA
rnacentral:misc_RNA from 1 species